GUUCUCUAUCUGGAGAUCACCCCCUCUGGGAGCUUUUCUGUGAGCCCAGGAUAUGGCCCAGGAUCACAGAAUUGUAGGGGUUGGAAGGGACCUCUGGAGAUCAAGUCCAACCCAACUACUAAAGCAGGUUUCCUACAAUAAUUUGCACAGGAGAGUGUUCAGAAAGGUCUUUAAUCUCUCUGGAGGAGGAUAUUCCUCAACCUCUCUGGGCAGACUAUUCCAGUUCUCCUUCAUCCUCACAUGGAAGAGCUCAAGACACCUUUAUACACCUGAACCUGAAAUUAUUGUGAAACAUGACACCUAGAAGAAAAAAAAAAAUCAGAAACCAAUAUCUCCCUGCAGCUUAGAAAAGUUCACAUAUGCCUCACAGGAGCAUCAUUUAAGGACAUAACUGCUAAACCCUUCCCUUCCUCCCAGCCCUCUGGCAUUCCAGCUGAGAUAAUCAGUAGAAAGGACUUGGCAUCAAAUGCAAAUGUGAGACAGGAUGGUGUGAAGCUGCUUACCAAGCUGUUAGAGGCAGAGAAAAAACAAAGAUCUGUACCAGAUAAAAACUUUAAUCCUAUCUGCAGUGAUAUAAAGGAAGAAAAAAGCAGAUGCUAAGAUGAUAAUCUUGAUGAUCUGGAUAUCUGGCUGCCAGUUCGGAAACACUAAAUUAAAUUAUGUACAGGAGAAAACUGCAUCUUUCAAAACAGAGGAGGACAAAAACUCCAGUAGAAAAAAACACCAUUAGAAUUUGGAUACAUUCACUCGGCAGGCAACUUUUCCUUUCUGCUGAGGUCUGUCUUGCUUUAAAUUAUCUAUUGUAUCCAUUCCUUACUUUUGUUAAAAGUCACCUGCAGCUCUGUAGAAUUUCAGUCUUGUGGAGAUAAUAGAAAGGAAAAAAAAAUGAGCUAUUUGGAAAUGAUGAAGGAAAAGAGAAUAAGCUCCCCAAGUAUAGGGUAGAAUUGUUCAAUUACGUGGUAUAUUAGUUAAAAAUGAGUUCAGGAGAUAAAUGCAUAUGGUGGUCUACUGCUUCAGCAAGGCAGAGUCUUGUCAGUUGAAGGUUUUCUGAGUUGUCCUACUUUGGACUUACAACAAUAACUACCAGAGAAGAACAGAUGGUGUCUGGGAGGCAGAAGUGUAGUAGUCCACUUAAGUGAAACAAGUGAUUGCAUAAUGAAUGACAUCUACAUAGAAGAAAAGAAAAAUGCAUCAGUUAGAAGAAACAUAAAAGCCUAUGCAUUCAAUACACACACAAAAAAAAAAGUUACAAGGAAUGUAUCCUUUUCCUUGGCUAUCAUAAAAUACACAUUUAGAGCAAGAGAAAUAAAAGAAUCCAUUAUGUCACAGAAAGUUUAAAUUACAUUACAAUGGAACUUUUAAAAUUAAAUUUGAAUUGGAAUUUCAGUUUUUAUUUUCCUUCUUCCAUCAUACAAUGCUGAGCCAGAAUCUCACUUAGCUUUCUUGAUGUAUGUCCUAAUUUAAUAAAUUUUGAG
ensembl:lncRNA